GCUCCCUAGACCACCAGCAUGCACCACCAUGCAUAGUGAUUUUUGUCUUAUACAUCAGAGCCAUUCUACCUGUGGUGAGACAGUAUCUCGGUGUGCGUUAGAUGUUCAUUUCCUGGAUGUUCAGUGAUUAGUUGAAUGCUUUUUGCUUAGACUUUGGCCAUUUGUGUAUCCUCUGUUGAGAAAUGUCUGUUCUGGUUAUUUGCCCAUUUUUAAUUAGAUUAUUGCUUUUAUUGUUAUUUUGUUCAGUGCUUGGUUUUUAUUUGUUUGUUUUUAAUUGUACUUUUAGCCAGGUUAAAACAUACUGUUGUCUGCAUAGUAUUGUUAAGAGUCUUUAAAGUUUAUUCAUUUUCAACAGUUAUAAAAGAUACCUGGGAAUUCAGUUAUACUUGUUAAGCCUUAGAGCUUCUUUUAUUUUGCCUCACUCUGCUUACCUACCACAUUGUAGAAGCUUAUGCAAUUCACUGGUAGUAAUCAUCUGUGUCGAGAGUGGCCCCCAGGCUCAGGUGCAUGGUUGAGUGCAUGAGGGAAUUCUCUCCGCAUUGAUACUUGACAUUCCCCUGCCUCUGCUUCCCUCUAGCUAGCUGACUGUGGGCAUCCUGUAGGGUUGUAACACACUACUUCUCUAUCCAGUCUUUGGGAAGGCAGCUUGCAGAUUGGUUAUGGCAGUUUCUUCCCAGUUACCUCUUACGUUCCUUUCUUUUGCUAAUUUCCAGCAAUUCUACUGAGUUUUAUUUGCUUCUCAUUCAUUUGUGUGUGUGUGUGUGUCUGUCUGUGUGUGUGUGUGUAUGUGUGGGAACUUCUUAUAGCUGUUUCUUCUGCAGUGUUUCAGUCAAAUAAACAUAUUAUCAUACCUUAAAUUUGCUCAUUUACUCUCUUUUACCCCAAAGGUAUUCAAAUGAAUAGCUUUUUAUGAAAUAAUUGAGAGUAUUAAGCAAAAAUUAUAAGUAUUAUUCAAAGCUUUUUAAUGCCGACAUUCAGCAUAGACUGUUGCUCUGGUACUCCAGAUAAAUAACUGGCAUGUUAACACACACACACAUUCAUAAAUGAUAAGUCUCUUUGAAGGUACGUGAAAGUGCUAGCAUUUCAAACUCCAGUCAGUUAGGACUCCAAAGUGCAUGGCGCUGUGACUCAUUAUGGAGAGCUGAUGACUGACUUAUGCCUGAGACUCAUUCUAAACACCUCUCCCGUCACGCUUCCCGUCACUGGAGAAGCAAUUCAUAACUCUGUCUUAUAAGCAAUCUACGUUUUAAACAUACUCUAGUUUCCAUAAAUAUUUUGUAAUAUAAAAAGUAUAAAAGAAAAAAAAUCUUUCACUUUCCUUCCAUAUAGUCCUUCCUACCAAAACCAUGUUACUAUUAUAUUAGGUUUUUUUUUCCUUCCUAAUGAGAAUGAAUGCAAGUAGGUUAUUCCUGCUAGUGUGGCAUGGGUCAACUUUUGUUGUGCGUUCUUUUUUCUGUUUUGCUAGUUUAGUAUGGGGGCAUUCAGAUAAGGGAGGGGAAGUUUUAUCCUAAACAUUAUUUUUCUCAGAGAAGUUUACUGAUUCCGGGAUUUGAAGUCCUGGUUCCCGGCAAACUUCAACUUUAUUCAUGAGCAUUUAGCCCCUCUUUCUCUGUUCUUUUGAUUCUUACCUCCCUAUUUUUUUUCUCCAAUUUUUAGCUUCUUGGUGAAUAAAAUCACGCAACUCAACCCCAUUUACCUCAUAACUUGCCAUUUAUUCUGAACACCUCUCUUCGUGCGAAGAAUCUCCAGAGUGUUCAUGCCUGUUCCCUACUGUGAGAAAUAUCAGCAGUCGGCAUCCUCACAGUGCUAGCUAUUUCUUAAUUGAAUGUAAUACUACUUCCUGAACCGUCUCACCUGUGCAAUGUGUCCUUCUCAGCUACAUUAUCUAGGUUGCAGAACCUGAGGCCCCACAAAUUGAAAUGUUCUAAGAUCAAUUUUGAGUUACCAUGAAAAAAAUUUUUUUCUUUAAUUUCAUUUUGUUGGGUAAAAAAAAAAAAAAAAAAAAAAAAAAAAAAAACAACCCUGACCAUUCUUUACAGAGAAUUUAGUAUUCAUGUGAGAAUCACAAAAAAGAAGUAACCAGACUUCCAAAUUAGAUGAGUGUUUGGGGAAAUGUGAAUUAAGUAAGCCACUGGAGGAUAUCCAAAUAUUGCAAAACAUGUUUUGAAAAUACCAAGUGGAAUUCCAUAAAU
rnacentral:lncRNA from 1 species